rnacentral:misc_RNA from 1 species
GAUGAAGAACGUAGCGAAAUGCGAUAACUAAUGUGAAUUGCAGAAUUCAGUGAAUCAUCGAGUCUUUGAACGCACAUUGCGCCCCCUGGUAUUCCGGGGGGCAUGCCUGUCCGAGCGUCAUUGCUGCCCUCAAGCACGGCUUGUGUGUUGGGCUCCGUCCCCCCGGGGACGGGCCCGAAAGGCAGCGGCGGCACCGAGUCCGGUCCUCGAGCGUAUGGGGCUUUGUCACCCGCUCUGUAGGCCCGGCCGGCGCCAGCCGACAACCCAUCAUCCUUUUCAGGUUGACCUCGGAUCAGGUAGGGUUACCCGCUGAACUUAAGCAUAUCAAUAAGCGGAGGA